rnacentral:rRNA from 1 species
GAUGGCCUAGGGAGGCAGCAGUAGGGAAUCUUCCACAAUGGACGGAAGUCUGAUGGAGCAACGCCGCGUGAGUGAAGAAGGGUUUCGGCUCGUAAAGCUCUGUUGGUAGUGAAGAAAGAUAGAGGUAGUAACUGGCCUUUAUUUGACGGUAAUUACUUAGAAAGUCACGGCUAACUACGUGCCAGCAGCCGCGGUAAUACGUAGGUGGCAAGCGUUGUCCGGAUUUAUUGGGCGUAAAGCGAGUGCAGGCGGUUCAAUAAGUCUGAUGUGGA